GCCGUCAUAGCUCAGUUGGGAGAGCGACAGACUGAAGCUUAUGUAAGAGAUUACGUAAUAAAGCCCUUCUGCAGGUCACCCGUUCGAUCCGGGUUGACGGCA